UUGCCUAUAGCUCAGCUGGUAGAGCGGCGGACUAACACUCCGUUCGCAACGGAUUCUCAAUCCGUCUUCGGCCGG
rnacentral:tRNA from 1 species